UGGCAGCCUUUUUAUCUGAGAGUCAGACAUGCUACCAUUGUGCCACGCUUUCAAUUUAAAUCAGAAUUCCUAAAAAGACAUUGAUCAUAAUAAAUCAUAAAUCUAUUAGAACAUUCCUAGCACAAUCAUUAUGAUCACCAAAGCAGAAAAUUCUAUCUUACUGGAAGUACAGCACACAAGCAUGCAGAGUUUUCCAUCUGUGACCAUAGUUUAGCCUGUAAUUGACCCAGUCUAUAUGUAUCCAACAUUAAGCAUGCUUAAAACAGCCUACUUAGGUCCUUGUCAUACCCAGCAACUUUGACUACACUUUGCUUACUCUGCUAACCCAAA
rnacentral:lncRNA from 1 species